rnacentral:rRNA from 1 species
UACGAAGGGGGCUAGCGUUGUUCGGAAUUACUGGGCGUAAAGGGCGCGUAGGCGGUGUGUCAAGUCAGGCGUGAAAGCCCCGGGCUCAACCUGGGAACAGCGCUUGAGACUGGCACGCUCGAGUUCGGGAGAGGAUGGUGGAAUUCCCAGUGUAGAGGUGAAAUUCGUAGAUAUUGGGAAGAACACCGAUGGCGAAGGCGGCGACCUGGUCCGAUACUGACGCUGAGGCGCGAAAGCGUGGGGAGCAAACAGG